rnacentral:rRNA from 1 species
AUGGGAGACUGCCGGGGUCAACUCGGAGGAAAGUGGGAUGACGUCAAAUCAUCAUGCCCCUUAUGUCUUGGGCUUCACGCAUGCUACAAUGGCCGGUACAAAGGGCUGCGAUACCGCGGAGGUGGAGCGAAAUCCCAGAAAGCCGGUCUCAGUUCGGAUUGGGGUCUGCAACUCGACCCCAUGAAGUCGGAGUCGCUAGUAAUCGCAGAUCAGCAACGCUGCGGUGAAUACGUUCCCGGGCCUU